ensembl:lncRNA
AAAAAAAAAAGUUUCCUUGAUUUUUUAUUUGAAUUGUGUUGUUGCUGCUUUGAUUAUGGACGGUUUUAUUUAGUCCUUGCAUAGAUUCCCCCACCCCAGUAUAAAAUAAGCUUGUUCAGAGACACCCCGGUUUGUUUUUGUCUCUGGAAGCCCGUACAGGUAAAGCAAUAUAAACUACUAAUGAUUCUUUGCUGGAGACCAAAUGAAACUAGCUAUCUUCAUAAACCAUGAUUGAAUGAACCAAUACUGGAGAGAAACAUGCAAUGAGAAGAAAACCAAUAAAAACUCUGACCGUCUUACAGCCCAGCUUGAGCAAAAUGUUACAGAAUGUUAAAAAGAGGGGGCCUUUCCUAUCUCUCUCUCAGAAAAUCUGAAAUCUUCCAAGCACUUUCUUUUCUGCCCAUCCUUUGUAACAGACUAUGGAAAUAUAGGAGGCAUCUGGUGAGUAGGUAACUUUAAAAUGGAAGAAAGAAUGUGCAAACCGAAGUUUUUUCUAGGUUUUUUUUUUUUUUAAUCAUUGCUUGUGGACAUCUGUCCUUCCCAUCAGUCAUCGUGUUUCCCCACGCUCCUUUUCCUUCCUAUGUGUUUCCAGUCACUUCCUUUCUGUGAAAGGUUGCUUAGCUUUUAAAAUUUUUUAAUAUUUGCUUUUGCUGUUCUUUGUAUAAAAACUAGCAGAUUGGAUGGCUGUGUCCCCCAGGUGUUUGAAAUUCUCUGAAAAUCCAGAGUGAAGAAACGAGGUGUGCAGAAGGCUCUCUAGCCCCUCUGAGUAGAGCUUGAGCUAACUGGAAGUGCUCAGUCUGGAUCAUCAUUUUCAUGGUAUUUUCAAAGGAGAGUUAAACACUGUGCUUAUUGGGAAAUCUCUGUUGGUUGGUGGUUGCUUCAAUAGGUAGCCAAACAAGUUGAUUGCUUUUUGGAUUUUAGCAUAGAAAUCAAAGUAGAACAUAUCAGCAAGAGUCUCUUCCAUUCCGUCUCUAGAACCAAAAUGUUCAGUAGUUGAAGAGCUCUCCCUGAACCAGUGGCCAAAUGUCUAUAUUUUUAGAUGCCACUGUCUUUUCCUCAGAUGCUCCUUUUGUGAAUUUCAUUUCCUAUUUCAUAUCAGACCAGCGGUUGAGAUUGGUAGGUGGGUCACUAGGCAUGUUUUUGUUUUGCGGACAUUAUUUCCAUUUCAUUUCUCUCUCUACUGUACACUGCAGCAGUAUGCAAACUGUGUGAUACAGGCGGCCUCUGCCUUAUUUCUGCAAAGUAGCCGGGUGUCCUCUGCCUGAGCAUUUGGGUGUUCAGCCUCUGUCCGCCUCCUAAACUGGCUCCUGAGAAAAUCAACGUCAGCCCUGCCAGGGUGUCUGGUAGCAGCUCCUAAUAAUUAUUUAUGCUUCUGGAAUUGUUUGCAGCUCCUGAAACCUUGUGUCCGUUUCAGUUUGAUUCUCUCGAUUUGUACAAUAUAUGCAUAUUCUUUUUUCCCUUCUGUCACCCUCCCCUCCCCUCGGCGUUUUUUAAUGUCCUGUAGUUUUGUAUGAGAGGAGACUUAGCCUCGGGUACUUCUUGCUGAAGCUUUAAUGCUUUGUAAAUAAAAUCGGAUGUUUAUUUAAAAAUAAAUAAAUAAAUAAA